UGAGUUUCUCAGGAUUGAUAUCAAUGGCGAUCACUGCAAAUGAAAGAGAGCAAAUGCACGGGUUAACGUGAGCGGUGAAUGCCACCCGACCACCAAACGGCCAUUUCAGAAGGAAGGUGCUCUUCUGCAGCCACCAGGUGAUCUCACUCAAGUGUUUUAAGUGCUAUUCGCACACAACCUACUUUUGAGUACACAGACCUGGCAUUAAUCUCAUACACAGACUUGGGAAAAGCAGCAGCUUUGUGGUGUCUCUGCAUGUCAGUGCUGCAAACAUAACUCAACCUUUAUCAGGGCAUCUCACAGUGCCAAAUAGAAAAGUUCAUCGUACAGAUAUUUUUUUUCUCCCAGAAAAUAAUUUUAACAACACAUGCUCCCCAAAGCUCAGCAAUGUGCACUGAGAACCCAAAGCCUGGCGGUCUAUGCACCUACCCGAAGUUAAUCACCCUCAUCCUCACAGGGGAAAAAAAGAUGUGAACUGGAGACCUGUUAGAUCACGUCUAGGAUCAACAAUGACUGUUUAUAAAUAAAUACCGCCAAUAUUAAAGACAAGACCUAGGAUUUUGGUGCUCCAGGAAUAAGCUACUUCCACUAGCACAGCUCUCAACUGGCCUCAUUACCCCUUGGACCUAACAAGUCUCUUUGACUAAACAUAAUAAAUACCACACAGUGCUGUAAUUUGGGAAAUCAGUGUUAAGCCCACUGUCAAUUCAUUUCCAGUUUGUAGG